rnacentral:snRNA from 1 species
GUGCUCAUUUCAGCAGCCCAUGUACUAAAAUUGAAAUGACGGAGAAGAUUAGCAUGGCCCCUGUGCAAGGAUGACACACAAAUUCGCAAAGCAUUCUAUAUUUUU